rnacentral:lncRNA from 1 species
CGGAAUUCUGGAUAUUCAACUCACCAACCUUGAACCCUUGACCUCUCACCAACCUAAAAGGCUUUGACAUUAUUGGGUAGGCUGUAUAUGAUCUUAGAUAACACUUGUGCUUUGAUACAGGGUAGAGCUAGAGUAAAUCUAGGGAGGCACUUGUCUUAUGUAUAUAAAGAUUUAUAAUUUAUGAGUGCAAAUAUGACAAAAGUUUAGCUUAUAUUAUUGCCCUUUUUAUUUUUGUGUGGGAGCGGCCGUACCCACUGCAAUUCACGUGGC